GGUUGAUCCUGCCAGUAGUCAUAUGCUUGUCUCAAAGACUAAGCCAUGCAUGUCUAAGUAUAAAUAGUUUUAUACUGUGAAACUGCGAAUGGCUCAUUAAAUCAGUUAUAAUUUACUUGAUUAUAUUAAAUUUUACUUGGAUAACCGUAGUAAUUCUAGAGCUAAUACAUGCAAAAAUAUCAAACUUUUAGGAAUGAUAGUAUUUAUUAGAUACAAAAAUCAAUAUAUUAAAUUGAUGAUUCAUAAUAACUUAACAAAGCGAGAGAUUCUAUCUUUUGCUGAUACAAACAAGU
rnacentral:rRNA from 1 species